rfam:Otolemur garnettii contig036610, whole genome shotgun sequence.
GCCAGGAGUGGUGGCAUGUGCCUGUAGUCCCAGCUACUCAGGAGGCUGAGACAGAAGGAUCACUUGAGUCCAGGAGUUCUGGGCUGUAGUACACUAUGCUGAUCAGGUGUCCGCACUAAGUUCAGCAUUAAUAUGGUGACAUCCGGGAGUGGGGAGCCACCGGGUUGCCUGAGGAGGGAUGAACUGGCCCAGUUCGGAAAUGGAGCAGGUCAAAGCUCCCAUACUGAUCAGUAGUGGGAUCACACCUGUGAAUAGCCACUGCACUCCAGUCUGGGCAACAUAGUGAGACCCCAUCUCUA